rfam:Camelus ferus unplaced genomic scaffold scaffold1034, whole genome shotgun sequence.
GUGGGUAUAGCUCAAGUGGUAGAGCACAUGCUUAGCAUACACAAGGUCCUGGGUUCAAUCCCCAGUACCUCCU